rnacentral:lncRNA from 1 species
ACACAGCGAAUCCCGCGCGAGAAAGACUGAAACCCAAAAUUACCCCUUCUUCUUUUCGAGCCACCGUUUUAACUCCCUACCCUUUUCAGGAACUACUUCCCGCUAUACUUAACCGAAACUUCUCUACUUCAUCCUCUGAUCUCCGACCACCGAAACCGAAACCCUAAACCACAAAUUCCGAUCUCCGACCAGUCAAUUACACGAAAUUGAAUAUUGGAUCGUCGCUGGUCACCUUGAUUUUGUCGUUAAAUCCCUCUAUGACGAAGGAAUUCAGCGUUCCACCGGUCAUCUUCCCCUCCGGCGGCAAUCCAACUGUGGCCGGCGGAGCCGGCUUGCAGCUUCGGCCGCCCCCGCCGGCUCCC